rnacentral:misc_RNA from 1 species
GAUGAAGAACGUAGCGAAAUGCGAUAAGUAAUGUGAAUUGCAGAAUUCAGUGAAUCAUCGAAUCUUUGAACGCACAUUGCGCCCGCCAGUAUUCUGGCGGGCAUGCCUGUUCGAGCGUCAUUACAACCCUCAGGCCCCCGGGCCUGGCGUUGGGGAUCGGCGGAGCCCCCCGUGGGCACACGCCGUCCCCCAAAUGCAGUGGCGGUCCCGCCGCAGCUUCCAUCGCGUAGUAGCUAACACCUCGCGACUGGAGAGCGGCGCGGCCACGCCGUAAAACACCCAACUCUUCUGAAGUUGACCUCGAAUCAGGUAGGUAUACCCGCUGAACUUAAGCAUAUCAAUAAGCGGAGGA